UGAACUUAAUGAAAUCAAUCCAUCUGAAACCAUGGAAAAUUUCUUCACUGAAGAGAGUAUGCAUGGUUCACAUUGCCAUUGCCAAUUCCCAUUGUUGAUAGGAGUCUGGGUCUGGUAUUCCUGAUAUGAUUUGGAAUGUCCACAUAUGUCCAGGAUGGAGCAUUUGUGACAAUUCAAG